CCUACGGGAGGCUGCAGUGGGGAAUAUUGGACAAUGGGGGGAACCCUGAUCCAGCCAUGCCGCGUGUGUGAAGAAGGCCCUCGGGUUGUAAAGCACUUUCAGUGAGGAAGAACGCCUGGUGGUUUAUACCCAUCAGGAAAGACAUCACUCACAGAAGAAGCACCGGCUAACUCCGUGCCAGCAGCCGCGGUAAUACGGAGGGUGCGAGCGUUAAUCGGAAUUACUGGGCGUAAAGCGCGCGUAGGUGGCUUGAUAAGCCGGUUGUGAAAGCCCCGGGCUCAACCUGGGAACGGCAUCCGGAACUGUCAAGCUAGAGUGCAGGAGAGGAAGGUAGAAUUCCCGGUGUAGCGGUGAAAUGCGUAGAGAUCGGGAGGAAUACCAGUGGCGAAGGCGGCCUUCUGGACUGACACUGACACUGAGGUGCGAAAGCGUGGGUAGCAAACAGGAUUAGAUACCCCGGUAGUC
rnacentral:rRNA from 1 species